GACGAACGCUGGCGGCGUGCUUAACACGUGCAAGUCGAACGGAAAGGCCCUGCUUUUGUGGGGUGCUCGAGUGGCGAACGGGUGAGUAACACGUGAGUAACCUGCCCUUGACUUUGGGAUAACUUCAGGAAACUGGGGCUAAUACCGGAUAGGAGCUCCUGCUGCAUGGUGGGGGUUGGAAAGUUUCGGCGGUUGGGGAUGGACUCGCGGCUUAUCAGCUUGUUGGUGGGGUAGUGGCUUACCAAGGCUUUGACGGGUAGCCGGCCUGAGAGGGUGACCGGCCACAUUGGGACUGCGAUACGGCCCAGACUCCUACGGGAGGCAGCAGUGGGGAAUAUUGCACAAUGGGCGGAAGCCUGAUGCAGCAACGCCGCGUGCGGGAUGACGGCCUUCGGGUUGUAAACCGCUUUCGCCUGUGACGAAGCGUGAGUGACGGUCAUGGGUAAAGAAGCACCGGCUAACUACGUG
rnacentral:rRNA from 1 species